AAUAAGUGCAGUUUGUGGGUUUCAGUGUCCAACUUUAACCAUCCUACAUAUUUGAAAUAUUUUUAUGAUUAGUAUUUUUAUUGUCAUUAGAUGAUAAAAUAUGAAUAACAUUUUAUGCGUGACUUCACUUUUAAAAUAUUUUCAUAAUAUUUUUAAAUAAGACGGACGGUUAAGCGUUAGACACAAAAACUUAUGACUGCACUUAUA
rfam:Oryza meridionalis cultivar OR44 (W2112) chromosome 2, whole genome shotgun sequence.